AAGCAGGCAUGUAGUUUUUCUUAUGUCAUUUAUUUAUUUUUGUUGCACGCCUCUUCUGCUUUUAGAUCAAUUUAAAUCUUUAGGGUGGGUUUACAGUUUUCUAAGUCAGGCCCAAGAGAGCUCAACCAAUAUGAAAUAAAAAUGUAUUAGGUUUUUGUGCAUUAACCAAUUCAUAACAUAAUUUUGUCAUGGUGUACCAUUAGUUUCCUAUAAAUUAAUUUGUCCAGCUCUGUUAUUUGAUCAAGUUAUGCAUGCUCUCAUUUCACAUUUUUGUAGUAGCAAAUAGGGGGAAAACACGGCCCAAGUUAAGAUUUAAUGGGCUUUUGAAAUUGCAUUUUCUCAUCAACUCACCAAAUAUGCCUUCACUAGUUUUUCAGGGUCUUCAUUCAAGUAGGUGCACAGAGACUUGAUCACACAGGCUAUUCUGGUAUGUAUAGUGUCAUCCUGUGGGGUGGGGACAAGAUUAACUCAAACUUCAGUGCUUAAGAGUACUUACGGUUUUACAAAAAAAAAAAAAAAAAAAAAAAAAAAGAUU